AUGAGACCGUGCAGCGGGCGAAGGGACAUUUUAUACGAAAAAAUAUUUUCCCAUCAGCCCGCGUUGUGCCGCACGGGCUGAUGGGACAAUAUGUCAGCGGUAGGAUUUGGCAACUUUUGUAACUAAACUAGCAACUUUUAUUUCCCAAAAAGAACCGAGCAAUGAAUGUACCUAUUUUAACGUCGCACGGACUAAUGGGAGAUGGUCGGAGUGAGAAACAUGAAAUGCCAUCCAAGGAAUUUUGUCGGACAAUUUUCAGACUACGAGCAACAUUUUAAACGUUUAAUUAUUUUUCUUAACACACACAAAAAACUAGCAACAAAACUAUGCUAUCUGUGCUUAAAAUCGAUGCACGAUAACUACAUGCGUCAUUUAGGUCCCACCAGUGGUGAGAAUGGCUGCUUUCAACAUGAAAGAACCAAUGGAUAUAUUUAGUUAAUUUUUCAAAAUUUCCGGUCAAAAACUCGACACUUGUCUAUGUGUUUCAUCUUUUAACAAUCAUUACCUUUGACUCCAUCACCAAAAUACCCGGUGGAUUGUGAAUGUGCAAAUAGUUUGAUGAAGACUGUUUAAAUCGUUUCAUGACUAUGACAUCUUUGUCGUUGCUUCAAAAUAGACGUUGUCGGCAGGAUUCGAACCUGCGCGGGGAGACCCCAAUGGAUUUCUAGUCCAUCGCCUUAACCACUCGGCCACGACAACUGCUGUAAAGGAUAUUUUAACUCACAAGUACAGAUAUUACUAGAAGGCCUAGUUAAAUCUGAUUUCUCAAAAUUGCAUUAGUGAUCAAGUAAUUGCUUUUAAAUGGUCUGCUGGAUUCACUGCUUGUUUUAGAUCUGAGUGUGAAAUCUGCUCAAUACAGAGGCGUAUUCCAGAGCGAUACAGGCCCACCACACCCUAAAAAUGAUGAGGGAAGUGGUCUUCAUCAAACUAUUUGCCUUACUGCCUUUCGACUGCAAAAAAAAAGAAUCAUAUUUGCUUGAUGUAUUUUUUUUGCACGAGUAAUAAAUUAAAAGUGAGGAAUGUCAGUUGCCCUUGUACCCUUCGAUUUCUUCUUUCAUUAAAGGCCCGAACGGUGAUUCGAAUGCAGGGCGUCUUGAAUGUAAUGCCGCCGUGCUUGUGACUGUCAAACAACUGUUAUCAGCACACUGAAUGAAUUUGAAAUUCACGUUGUUUGAUCGGUGAAAACGCGCAAGGAUGUCAGCUUCUUCGCCUUUCUGUGGUGGUUUCCAAAUUUCACAGGCUUCAUCCAUUGAAGGUUGAAUCUUCGGCCACAUGGCGUCACUUACAGCGCGACUCAGACUCAAAAUUUUAACAUUUAUUGAACCUGUCCAAUUUUGCUACACUUUAUGCGGUCCACGGAGGCGACAUGAGGACCCUUUGAAGGUAUCGAAGGAACCAGCCUGCGAAUUCUCUCCAGUAUUUUGGAAACCACCUAUGGUCGAGUUGUGCCGGAAGUGAUGCCAUUCGACCGAAAAUGGCGCCUUUGAAGCACGCCGCUUAUGAAAUUUAGACACAAGUUCACAGUAAAGGUUAAAGUACCCCAUUGGGCAACAUCUCUUAACUUUUGAGUGUAUGUGAUAUUCCACUUUUGAGACUGUAAUUCUUAAGUACUUUAUAGUCUGUAAAUUAGGGGAAUCAGUCAAAGAAACAAGGCUACUACUUAUGUUCUUUAUCAUAUCCAAGUGGAAUUUAUUUUUGUAUCUCAUCCACCGCGUUUUGAUCCAACGUCGACGUCGCUGCAACUAAAGGGAAAACACAUUUGAGGUGAAGAAUAGAAUAUCCCUCAGUGUUCACAACUUAGGAAGAAAAAAAACCCUAAAUGAACUGCAGCAGCACUACAAAAAAACAGCAGCGUGUUCUCAUCUUUUUUUGGGGCUGUUUACAACUCC